CUACGGGGGGCUGCAGUGGGGAAUCUUAGACAAUGGGCGCAAGCCUGAUCUAGCCAUGCCGCGUGAGUGACGAAGGCCUUAGGGUCGUAAAGCUCUUUCGCUGGGGAAGAUAAUGACGGUACCCAGUAAAGAAACCCCGGCUAACUCCGUGCCAGCAGCCGCGGUGAUACGGAGGGGGUUAGCGUUGUUCGGAAUUACUGGGCGUAAAGCGCGCGUAGGCGGAUCAGAAAGUUGGGGGUGAAAUCCCGGGGCUCAACCCCGGAACUGCCUUCAAAACUCCUGGUCUUGAGUUCGAGAGAGGUGAGUGGAAUUCCGAGUGUAGAGGUGAAAUUCGUAGAUAUUCGGAGGAACACCAGUGGCGAAGGCGGCUCACUGGCUCGAUACUGACGCUGAGGUGCGAAAGCGUGGGGAGCAAACAGGAUUAGAUACCCGUGUAGUC
rnacentral:rRNA from 1 species